rnacentral:rRNA from 1 species
UACGUAGGGACCAAGCGUUGUCCGGAAUCAUUGGGCGUAAAGAGCGUGUAGGCGGCUUGUUAAGUCUUGCGUGAAAUCUCGGGGCUCAACCCCGAGCGGUCGUGAGAAACUGGCAGGCUAGAGUGCGGGAGAGGAGAGUGGAAUUCCUGGUGUAGCGGUGAAAUGCGCAGAUAUCAGGAGGAACACCCGUGGCGAAAGCGGCUCUCUGGGACGGUACUGACGCUGAGACGCGAAAGCGUGGGGAGCAAACAGG